AUUGAACGCUGGCGGCAGGCCUAACACAUGCAAGUCGAGCGGAUGACGGGAGCUUGCUCCUCGAUUCAGCGGCGGACGGGUGAGUAAUACCUAGGAAUCUGCCUGAUAGUGGGGGACAACGUUUCGAAAGGAACGCUAAUACCGCAUACGUCCUACGGGAGAAAGCAGGGGACCCUCGGGCCUUGCGCUAUCAGAGGAGCCUAGGUCGGAUUAGCUAGUUGGUGAGGUAAUGGCCCACCAAGGCGACGAUCCGUAACUGGUCUGAGAGGAUGAUCAGUCACACUGGAACUGAGACACGGUCCAGACUCCUACGGGAGGCAGCAGUGGGGAAUAUUGGACAAUGGGCGAAAGCCUGAUCCAGCCAUGCCGCGUGUGUGAAGAAGGUCUUCGGAUUGUAAAGCACUUUAAGUUGGGAGGAAGGGCAGUAAGCUAAUACCUUGCUGUUUUGACGUUACCGACAGAAUGAGCACCGGCUAACUCUGUGCCAGCCGCCGCAGUAAAAC
rnacentral:rRNA from 1 species